rnacentral:rRNA from 1 species
GACGAACGCUGGCGGCGUGCUUAACACAUGCAAGUCGAACGGAAAGGCCCUGCUUAUGUGGGGUGCUCGAGUGGCGAACGGGUGAGUAACACGUGAGUAACCUGCCCUUGACUUUGGGAUAACUUCAGGAAACUGGGGCUAAUACCGGAUAGGAGCUCCUGCUGCAUGGUGGGGGUUGGAAAGUUUAGGCGGUUGGGGAUGGACUCGCGGCUUAUCAGCUUGUUGGUGGGGUAGUGGCUUACCAAGGCUUUGACGGGUAGCCGGCCUGAGAGGGUGACCGGCCACAUUGGGCCUGGGAUGCGGCCCAGACUCCUACGGGAGGCAGCAGUGGGGAAUAUUGCACUAUGGGCGGAAGCCUGAUGCAGCACCGCCGCGUGCGGGAUGACGGCCUUCGGGUUGUAAUCCGCUUCCGCCUGUGACGAAGCGUGAGUGACGGUAAUGGGUAAAGAAGCACCGGCUAACUACGUG